CGCGUAGGCGGUUUGGUAAGUGUGAUGUGAAAGCCCAGGGCUCAACCUUGGAACUGCAUCACAUACUGUCAGACUAGAGUACGGGAGAGGGGGGUAGAAUUCCACGUGUAGCGGUGAAAUGCGUAGAGAUGUGGAGGAAUACCGGUGGCGAAGGCGGCCCCCUGGAUCGAUACUGACGCUGAGGUGCGAAAGCGUGGGGAGCAAACA
rnacentral:rRNA from 1 species